rnacentral:misc_RNA from 1 species
CACAAAGGGGCUGAAGGAAAUUUGUGGAAGGAGAUCUGAUGUACUUGCUUGUGGAUCUUAAUUAUUCAGGAGAUCAUGAUCGCCAUAGAGCAUAAAGAUACUAUGCAUACAAAUUGUGAGGCAUCCGUAAGAUGCCUUCCGAGUGCAGGUUAUCCCCAUAAUCUGCACUACAGUAGAACUGCGGUCAAAGUCUUACCAGAGCCUAGUGAUGACACCUAUAUUCAUCCAGGUGGGGACAGCUUGGACUGCACAUUGACUGGUGAACCAAUUGAGUCUUCAAAAGAAUCUCCGAGCCACACUGUCUAUCAGCAUGGCUUUGGUCUAUGGUCUGCCUUUUAUCCUAACUCAAAUAUGCAUCUGCGCUCCUUGAAUGCUAUUGAAAGCCAGCCCUAUCCAUAUUCAGUGGAAAAUCACUACCAUUAUAGCCUAUUGAACAUGUUCCCUCAAAAUUAUCAGUGUGAUUAUCGGUUCCAAGAUUUCCAGUAUUUUGUUGUAAUCGACUUUGAGGCAACAUGUGAUAAAGAAAAGAAUCCUCACCCUCAGGAGAUAAUAGAGUUUCCAUCAGUUAUAGUGAGUAGCACGACUGGCCAGCUGGAAGCUUGUUUUCAAACUUACGUGAGGCCAACAUGCAACCAACAACUGAGUGAUUUCUGCAAGGAUCUGACUGGUAUCCAGCAAAUUCAGGUUGACAGAGGUGUUACUCUAAGUGAAGCGCUCCUUAGGCAUGACAAGUGGCUUGAGAAGAAAGGGAUAAAGAAUACCAACUUCGCAGUUGUCACAUGGUCCAGUUGGGACUGCCGUGUGAUGUUGGAAUCCGAAUGCCGAUACAAAAAGAUUAGGAAGCCUCCAUAUUUUAACCGUUGGAUCAACUUGAAGGUUCCUUUUGGAGAGGUUUUUGGAGGCGCGAGGUGCAAUUUGAAAGAUGCGGUCCAAAUGGCUGGCUUAGCAUGGCAGGGCCGUGCUCACUGUGGUCUGGAUGAUGCCAAAAAUACAGCCCGCUUGCUUGCUUUUCUCAUGCAUAAGGGUUUUAGAUUCUCUAUCACCGAUUCUCUUAUGUAUCAAUCUAAUGAUGAACCCCUUUCAUGGAAGCUGCCCCCAGAUCACCCAUCAUUUCCAACUUAUCAACCUCAAAAGAUGAGAGACGUGCCUUGUCCAGUAUUGCAAAAUCAGCCCUACUGUUUCUGUGGAGUAAGGAGCAGCAAAGGGAUGUUCCGAAAACCAGGUCCAAAGCAAGGAAACCUCUUCUUCGGGUGUGGAAAUUGGACUGCUGCUAGAGGUGCCUGUUGCCAGUAUUUUGAAUGGGCCUUGUCCUGAAGGACCAGAAAGAUGACGUAAUUUAUUCAGGCCUGAUCAUCGUCACAUCUCUCUCUGUCUAUGUAAAAAGUGAAACGGAAAGACUGUUGGAGGAAAGUGAAUCUCCGCUUUUCUCCCUUCCAACCAAGUAAAUAUGGAUAGUUCAAUCAAAACCCUUUUGUUUCCUGUUAAUGCUUGUGAGCCUGCGGGUCAACUUAGGGAAUGAAAGAUGGAAUGAUCCAACCAGUUUAAAACUGACUUGUUGACAGUGAUUGAACUCUAUGGUGUAGGUAGAAGCAUGCAUUGACAUGCCUGGACAUGUUUUAUUGUGUUAAAAAUAACGUGUGAGCAUUUGCUAUUCAAUGGGAAUGACAAAUUUGCUUGCC